rnacentral:rRNA from 1 species
GACGAACGCUGGCGGCGUGCUUAACACAUGCAAGUCGAACGGAAAGGCCCUGCUUUUGUGGGGUGCUCGAGUGGCGAACGGGUGAGUAACACGUGAGUAACCUGCCCUUGACUUUGGGAUAACUUCAGGAAACUGGGGCUAAUACCGUAUAGGAGCUCCUGCUGCAUGGUGGGGGUUGGAUAGUUUCGGCGGUUGGGGAUGGACUCGCGGCUUAUCAGCUUGUUGGUGGGGUAGUGGCUUACCCAGGCUUUGACGGGUAGCAGGCCUGAGAGGGUGACCGGCCACAUUGGGACUGAGAUACGGCCCAGACUCCUACGGGAGGCAGCAGUGGGGAAUAUGGCACAAUGGGAGGAAGCCUGAUGCAGCAACGCCGCGUGCGGGAUGACGGCCUUCGGGUUGUAAACCGCUGUCGCCUGUGACGAAGCGUGAGUGACGGUAAUGGGUAAAGAAGCACCGGCUAACUACGUG